AUACGUAGGGGGCGAGCGUUGUCCGGAAUCAUUGGGCGUAAAGGGCGCGUAGGCGGAUAUUUAAGUCUGGUGUGAAAGUCUAGGGCUUAACCUUAGGAUUGCACCGGAAACUGGAUAUCUUGAGGACAGGAGAGGAAAGCGGAAUUCCACGUGUAGCGGUGAAAUGCGUAGAUAUGUGGAGGAACACCAGUGGCGAAGGCGGCUUUCUGGACUGUAACUGACGCUGAGGCGCGAAAGCGUGGGGAGCAAACAGGAUUAGAUACCCUGGUAGUCCACGCCGUAAACGAUGAGUGCUAGGUGUAGAGGGUAUCGACCCCUUCUGUGCCGCAGUUAACACAAUAAGCACUCCGCCUGGGGAGUACGGCCGCAAGGUUGAA
rnacentral:rRNA from 1 species